rnacentral:rRNA from 1 species
AACGAACGCUGGCGGCAUGCCUAACACAUGCAAGUCGAACGAGACCUUCGGGUCUAGUGGCGCACGGGUGCGUAACGCGUGGGAACCUGCCCUUAGGUUCGGAAUAACUCCCCGAAAGGGGUGCUAAUACCGGAUAAUGUCUUCGGACCAAAGAUUUAUCGCCUUUGGAUGGGCCCUCGUUGGAUUCGCUUGUUGGUAGGGUAAAAGCCUACCAAGGCGACGAUCAAUAGCUUGUCUGAGAGGAUGAUCAGCCACACUGGGACUGAGACACGGCCCAGACUCCUACGGGAGGCAGCAGUGGGGAAUAUUGGACAAUGGGCGAAAGCCUGAUCCAGCAAUGCCGCGUGAGUGAUGAAGGCCUUAGGGUUGUAAAGCUCUUUUACCCGGGAUGAUAAUGACAGUACCGGGAGAAUAAGCUCCGGCUAACUCCGUG